rnacentral:rRNA from 1 species
UACGUAGGGUGCGAGCGUUGUUCGGAAUUACUGGGCGUAAAGGGCUCGUAGGCGGCCAACUAAGUCAGACGUGAAAUCCCCAGGCUUAACCUGGGAACUGCGUCUGAUACUGGAUGGCUUGAAUUCGGGAGAGGGAUGCAGAAUUCCAGGUGUAGCGGUGAAAUGCGUAGAUAUCUGGAGGAAUACCGGUGGCGAAGGCGGCAUCCUGGACCGACAUUGACGCUGAGGAGCGAAAGCUAGGGGAGCAAACGGG